CAUAUCGUCAUAAAAGCGAUGCAUCCAAACCUCAGUCUCGUAACCACUCAUGAAUGUUCGUACGCAUACUACGUUUGCUUGGUGCGGUCUGGACGAGAGGAAAUCUGGGACGAUGAACGGGCUAGCAAGGAAAGACACAGACAAUACUGAUUACCGGCCAGCGCAAAACGAAAAGAAAUUGUCGCCACAGAACGAUAACGAAGGUGGCGGACCUUCAUUGGCAGCGGAAGUUUGUGCUGUAUCAAAAAAAUUGCAGAUGAUCUGGCGACCUUUGUCAAGAAAACAGCGCCGUCUAGUGUAUAUGUGAUUAAGUCUUCUAAAUACAACACAGUAUCGAAUAUGAAGAUCGUGGCCUUUAGCGACGUACAGCCGUCAAUCCAUCCCUGCGCUCUGUCUUGCCCGACAACGAACAUUGAGAAUGUCACCCGUUGGAAGCUCAUGUAUUUAAGCUUUGCCUGGGUCUGAAUCGACCGCAGCAUUAUCGAGCGAUUGCGGUUAAAUGAACAUGACGGCGUCUCAGGGGGGCACCGGGUUAACGUCCCCGGGACUUCGGCGCAAAAACCUUCGCUCUUUUUUCAAGGCCAGGCCGAAAAAAAAAGUCGUUGCCAGCACAGUUACAACAUUAGUUUGUGACCCGCGGUCCGUUCAUUUUCAUUCUCUUUCAUUUACCCUACCGCAGCCUGGAUUUGUUGAUGUCGAAGGCACACUCUUGUCUCCUCGGUGCCUCUAACCCCACUUCUUCCAUUGAUGGGAAUUGGGUUCACCCCAUCAGUUAGAAGGUAUGGACAUUAUUGAGUAGUGUAUGGGUAGUGCACUGUUCAUUCGAUGUGUCAGACAUCCGUGCGUCCCUCGACUGGGCGUUUCGACAACUCCGAACAUCGACUAGACACCAUAGACAACGUGAGGCGUUUCUGCGAGAACUGGCAGAGCUGGUAUCCGGUCGUGCAACCACGAAAGACGCAUUCAUCUGCUUAGGUUUCUGAACAGUGUACGAGGUAAGGCCGUUUAUCGAUAAACGUUCGUUCGAUAGCGGGGUGAAUGCAGUGUGAGCACUGCGGAUUACUGGAGCUUCGGUGUCUGAGUCCUGAUCAACGUCAGCAUUCAACAAGAUCUUCCACACAGAGAUAACCACAGAGUGCAGAGCGAAGAAGUGUGUAUACGUCUGCGUGUGUGCGCGCGCGUGUUUAAAAAGCGAACCGACAGCCUCAGAAAUGGUACCGUUAAAGAUUCGUCGAAGCUAUGUGAUGGGGUCCACGACGGAUGGACUGCAUACGAAUGCGGCGACUCGGGGAAAGCAGGAAUCGUUCUUCUCAUAACGAAAAAACAACGGUCUAGGACUAGAGAACGAAAAUCAAACCGAUAUCAGAACGCCAAUAUUCAUCAUCGAUACGUUUGUUCGAGGUUGUCGGACGUAGGUUGUGUGUGCUCUAACCGGUAGAACGAACCCGUUUUGCCACCAUUCUUCCUCGAUCUAGACCGGCGGCAUCGCGCUCGUGUUCCCCUCCUAGCCGGAUGCUUUGUUGUUCGCUAGUAUGACUAGGCAGGCACCCAAGCAACGGAAGAAAAAUGGACAUCAACGGAGACAAUGCCAGAGGGCUAAAACGUACGACGUCUAGUAGAAUGGGUGAAAGCAAGGUGCAGUGAGUGGGCCCCUUCGUGACCCGGUGGAAUCCGCCUUUAUCUAUUUUUGCCUGUCAAUGAAUAGUAAGCCUGCACAGAUCUCGCAUCGAUGGACUGUAUUGUACACUUUGACUGUUUUUCGUUGACGGAUGAGCCAGAAGCAAGUAUCAGUAUGUUGAUGUCGGUUGUUCGUAAGAAAGUCGUUUGCCAGAUACAGAAAUAUCUGUAAUCGUCUUAAUUCAGGAGACAAAAGAGAUUUUGAGAGAGGCUGCUUGUUGCUUAACAAACAACGAGAAGAAAACUAAUUUUAUUGAAAAUAUUUUAUGGGAGAGUACAAUAGACACACAAUUUUGCACAAAGACGAUUAUGUAAUUUUGGUGUCUGUAAUUGUUGAUAAUAAUUUGAGUGAAAGUAACUAACCUGCUCACGUAAUCCGUUGCUACGGUUUAUCUGCGGCUGACUUUUUUUUUCAACUCAGGAAAUGAAAAAGACAGUUUUGAUGUAAUCAUGUUGGAAGUGAAGCUAAACUGCUAGCAGCUUCUUCGACGAUCGCCUACAAGCAUUGAUUCUUGAUAGCGCCUACUUUCUGACUAUAAACCUACUCUCUAGAUGAUCUCUAUUUUUGUUGUGACCCUUUCUCCAGUGUCGGAAUAAAACACGAGAAAAGCCGUCGCAACGGUACCCUUGUAUUGCUUACGUUGCAUAGGAGUAUCGCAUAUUGGUGGACCGGAGACACUUUUAAACAAAUGUCGAGAUUAUUGCACGCUUGAGACUUCAAUCCGAGAGCAGUUAAGCAGUUUCAGAUUGAAUGGCCUAUCUAUAUAACAUGAUUCUGGUCCAUCCGAGUCUGUUAAGUCUGCUAACCAUCUCUUGCGGUCGAGCGAAACAAUAAGCUUCAACCCGCGUUUACCAAAGACCACAACGAGUUCUUGGGGCACGUUAUGUAAAACGUACGAGGUCAGUGAUACAGUCACUUUCUUACUAAUCAGCCAGUUAUGAUGCUUCCUAUUUUAAACGAUUGGGUUGGGAUAAAACGUUAACCCUUAAUCACAUCAUUUUAUAUUUUUGUUAUUUAGUAUGAGAUUUUUGGAAGCACGCUUGGUCGUUCUAAAUUUCUCCAAGAAUUAGCGCGAUUACGAAAACCAACAACUCAGAAAAUUUACCGAUAGUGAUUCCUCUAAUCAAGUGCAUAGCUGGCUACACCUAUAAAAUCUGACACUCUGAAAAGACGAGUCAUUAUUGUCUAGUCUACCCGUUAAUCUUAAUUUCUGAAUACCUGAAAAAGCUUAGGUAUCUGUGAUUCCUAUGUAAUAUCCCACCCAGAUCCAGCUUUCACAAGGUCUUUAGCUCUCCGAUUUUAGUAACGCAAUGCUAGGAGCUUCCAACGUCAGAAUCUCCGACAAUAUUGUAUCUGCAUAACUCAUGGAGGGUUUCUGAUUUUUAAAUGUUUCUACCCAUUUAUUCCUUAUUUUAUACCCAUUUUUUAUUAUUAUUAUUUAUUAUUACCCUGCGAGAUAUUCGUUUUUCAUCUCAGCGUCAAGGGUUAAGUUUUCGUGACUGCUUCAUUACCCGUUACAGCAUGCGUUCUGUUGCUAGUUUUCACUGCCUUUUGAAUGCCUUUUAUCUCUUUGUCCACGUUUGUGCUAGAAACUUUGCAGCUCAAAAGGCUUAGGCAGAAAGUCUGCUCUGCUCAACUGAAGCUUUGUCGGGCAGAAAUAAACAAAGAAAAUGGACCGUCUGCUUCCCUUACAAAAAAAAGGAUCAGAAUGAGGAAAAGACAGCAAGUCACCAAGUCUCCACAUAUGAACAGAUACAAUGCCGCAAAAAAGUACGGGAAAUAGAAACCGAUGGGAAGAGGUUCGAUACAAGCAAAACAUUUUCAUAGUGCUGGCUUGCCUGCCUACAGGCUCUUUUCUUGCUUUGUGUAAUUCGUGCAGUAGGCCUCCCAAUACUAACUAGACCACCUACUAGACCUACGCAACCUACUUAUGCUAUCUCAGUGGUUUCUUUUACUCUUCUAUUUAAAAAAAAACUUGCAUUGCAAAUUAGAUUCCGUCAUGGGUCGAGGGUCUGUGUUUUCCUGUUUAGUGUAUUUAAGCCACUCACGCACCAUCCAUAGGGGGUACUUUGUGCUACUGACUUUGCCUCGGCCUUCGACUUCCUAAAGGAGUACGUUAAAGUCUAUAUAGACGGAAGGUAAUCUACACGCGCUACUAUAGGCUUUCCGAACAUACUGUUUCGGUUUUUCGCUUGUACAUGGUAAAGAUGUGAAGAACAAGCCGACGGCGAUGGAUUGCUACCCCUCAAGCCGUGCGAAUCGAUGCAGCCAACGAAAUGUCAGACGACAGAAAGCAGACUAGCAGCUUCACCGGCGACGUCCACGGAUCAGCAAGGUACAUAGCUAAAAAGGAUACAUCGCUGCGGCUGUGGGUGUUUUACAUGGGGGGAAUACACAAUGGGGGA